rnacentral:rRNA from 1 species
GAUGAACGCUGGCGGCGUGCCUAAUACAUGCAAGUCGAGCGAACAGACGAGGAGCUUGCUCCUCUGACGUUAGCGGCGGACGGGUGAGUAACACGUGGAUAACCUACCUAUAAGACUGGGAUAACUUCGGGAAACCGGAGCUAAUACCGGAUAAUAUAUUGAACCGCAUGGUUCAAUAGUGAAAGACGGUUUUGCUGUCACUUAUAGAUGGAUCCGCGCCGCAUUAGCUAGUUGGUAAGGUAACGCCUUACCAAGGCAACGAUGCGUAGCCGACCUGAGAGGGUGAUCGGCCACACUGGAACUGAGACACGGUCCAGACUCCUACGGGAGGCAGCAGUAGGGAAUCUUCCGCAAUGGGCGAAAGCUUGACGGAGCAACGCCGCGUGAGUGAUGAAGGUCUUCGGAUCGUAAAACUCUGUUAUUAGGGAAGAACAAAUGUGUAAGUAACUAUGCACGUCUUGACGGUACCUAAUCAGAAAGCCACGGCUAACUACGUG